UUUCCGUAGGUGAACCUGCGGAAGGAUCAUUACCGUGGGGCUUCGGCCCUGUCGUGAUAGAACCCUUGCCUUUUGAGUACCGUCCGUUUCCUCGGCAGGCCCGCCUGCCAAUGGGGACCCCCAAUAAACCCUUUUAUGUACCUGUAUCAGUCUGAAAAACAAACAAAAGUUAAAACUUUCAACAACGGAUCUCUUGGUUCUG
rnacentral:misc_RNA from 1 species